rnacentral:rRNA from 1 species
GCGAGUAGAGGGGCAGCAGACGUGGUAAUGUGAAGGGUGCAAACUGGGGUAGGGAGUAAUGGGCGGAAAGCGCACAGAGGCGGCGUAGCAAGUCCCAUCUGAAAUCCCAGGGCGUAACCGUGGAAGUGCAUGGGAAACUGCUGAGCUGGAGUACGUAAGAGGAUCGCGGAAUUCCCGGUGUAGAGGUGAAAUUCGUAGAUAUCGGGAGGAACACCAGUGGCGAAGGCGGCGAUCUGGGAAGAUACUGACGCUGAGGUGCGAAAGCGUGGGGAGCAAACAGGAUUAGAUACCCGUGUAGUC